UACAGAGGGGGCAAGCGUUGUUCGGAAUUACUGGGCGUAAAGCGUGCGCAGGCGGUUUUGUAAGUCUGUCGUGAAAGCCCCGGGCUCAACCUGGGAAUUGCGAUGGAGACUGCAAGGCUUGAAUCUGGCAGAGGGGGGUAGAAUUCCACGUGUAGCAGUGAAAUGCGUAGAGAUGUGGAGGAACACCGAUGGCGAAGGCAGCCCCCUGGGUCAAGAUUGACGCUCAUGCACGAAAGCGUGGGGAGCAACAGG
rnacentral:rRNA from 1 species